rnacentral:rRNA from 1 species
GACGAACGCUGGCGGCGUGCUUAAUACAUGCAAGUCGAGCGGACCGAGCGGCGCGUUGCUGGUUUCCAGCGACAAGCUGCAAAGGUUAGCGGCGAACGGGUGAGUAACACGUGGGUAAUCUGCCCCCAAGACCGGGAUAACAGAGCGAAAGCGCUGCUAAUACUGGAUGACCUCUCUUUAUCGCAUGGUGGAGGGAGCAAAGCGUAAGCGCUUGGGGAUGAGCCCGCGUUCCAUUAGCUAGUUGGUGAGGUAACGGCUCACCAAGGCGACGAUGGAUAGCCGGCCUGAGAGGGUGACCGGCCACACUGGGACUGAGACACGGCCCAGACUCCUACGGGAGGCAGCAGUAGGGAAUUUUCGGCAAUGGGGGAAACCCUGACCGAGCAACGCCGCGUGAGGGAUGAAGGCCUUCGGGUCGUAAACCUCUGUCUUUGGGGACGAUAAUGACGGUACCCGAGGAGGAAGCCCCGGCUAACUACGUGCCAGCAGCCGCGGUAAUACGUANGGGGCGAGCGGUUGUCCGGAAUUACUGGCCGUAAAGGGCGUGUA